GUGCUCACUUUGCUAGCACAUAUAUAACAAAUAGAACGAUACAGAGAUUAGCAUGGUCUCUGCACAAGGAUGAUCACAAAUUCAUGAAGCAUUCCGUAUUAAA